UACGUAGGGUGCAAGCGUUGUCCGGAAUUAUUGGGCGUAAAGAGCUCGUAGGCGGUUCGUCGCGUCGGCUGUGAAAUCCCCGAGGCUCAACCUCGGGUCUGCAGUCGAUACGAGCAAACUAGAGUGUUGCAGGGGAGACUGGAAUUCCUGGUGUAGCGGUGAAAUGCGCAGAUAUCAGGAGGAACACCUAUGGCGAAGGCAGCUCUCUGGGACGGUACUGACGCUGAGACGCGAAAGCGUGGGGAGCGAACAGG
rnacentral:rRNA from 1 species